rnacentral:tRNA from 1 species
GGUUCUAUCGUAUAAUGGUUAGUACACAAGAUUCUGAUUCAAAGUCUAAUUUCGGACUUCUUGUAAUCUGGGUUCGAUCCCCAGUAGGACCU